CCUACGGGGGGCUGCAGUGGGGAAUAUUGGACAAUGGGGGCAACCCUGAUCCAGCCAUGCCGCGUGUGUGAAGAAGGCCCUCGGGUUGUAAAGCACUUUCAGUGAGGAAGAACGCCUGGUGGUUAAUACCCAUCAGGAAAGACAUCACUCACAGAAGAAGCACCGGCUAACUCCGUGCCAGCAGCCGCGGUAAUACGGAGGGUGCGAGCGUUAAUCGGAAUUACUGGGCGUAAAGCGCGCGUAGGUGGCUUGAUAAGCCGGUUGUGAAAGCCCCGGGCUCAACCUGGGAACGGCAUCCGGAACUGUCAAGCUAGAGUGCAGGAGAGGAAGGUAGAAUUCCCGGUGUAGCGGUGAAAUGCGUAGAGAUCGGGAGGAAUACCAGUGGCGAAGGCGGCCUUCUGGACUGACACUGACACUGAGGUGCGAAAGCGUGGGUAGCAAACAGGAUUAGCUACCCUAGUAGUC
rnacentral:rRNA from 1 species